CGCAGCGCCUGAAACCCACGCAUGGUAGUCUACGCGCCGUCGCUAUGCUCCCCACGCGUCGCCUGCCCUGACGGCCCGAGGAUCCUCACGCCGUCUUGGCUGGAUUGUGCAAAGAGAUGACGUUGAACCUUUGGUUGCACGGCGCGGCGGCUCGCCAUGGGACUCAACAGUACGGUGGCCAGUCCCGUGACACCAUGCCUCUCCCACCUCUUUCGGUGGCUUUCUCUGCUGCCCCUGGAGCUCAACGUGGAGGGACUCGCCAUGCAUCGCGCAUCGUUCUGGACGCGGCUGCCCACUACCCUGCAAGUCGACUGUUCCAACGCCCACAAGUGUUCGACGUUAUGUUUGGACAGCUGUAGGAUUCUCCAUGGAAUCUUCGAACAGAUCAAUGGAUAAAGCAAAAGAAAAUCCAUACAGGGCUCUGUCAGGCUUGCUGCUUCAGGUCGUCCUCCCCAAGAGUGUGAGAAGAAGCAGCUGCUGCAGAAUGCAUCGCACGCUAUAUACUCAUGGGUCUUCAGGACAGAAAUGGGAGGCUCUUCUACAAGCUCAUGAUCGACAUCGGGGAGCUGCAUAUCCUUAUUUAUAGAGAUAAUUAGAAGUUUGAGAGAAAUUUAGUGUGCUCUGCAUCUAAUUUCAGAGAAAGUACAUCUACUGUAGUAGCAUGCAAGUGGGUUCAUGCCAUUAUACAUAGCACGUUCCAGCUGUUGUAUAUCCUUGCUUUGAGAGACAAUUAGUAGUUUCUGAGAAUAUAUUUCAUAGCACGAGCACAUAGCUAUGAGAGAUUAUUAGAGCAGUAGUUCUACCUACUACCACAUGUAUUUUUUCGUUGAUUGUACAAGUUCACAUGUACAUCUCUGAAUAAAGAAGAACCUUAUUACUGAAGUUAUAGAACAGAGGUGGUGUUGCUCUAUAUGUACAGGCUAUUAUUUGCAUGCUUUGCUGAGUAAGUGCAGUUUAGAAUGAGUUGAAAUCUAAGAGCAGACAGUUGCAUGUUCGACUUCCGUUGUGCAGUACCAUUUCUUACUUCCAAUUAGAAUAGUUGUCGUUCAGUAUUUGCCUAGCUCUAAUACCAUUCUUCACAAAAUACAUACACCUUUUUUAGUGUCUGAAUUUUAUUAUCUGUUGGUGAUCAGUUUUUCCUACUCCAGUUGUUGGAUGUGCUAUCCUCCCUUCUCACUCUCGGGCUCUAGCAGCAAAUGGACGCGCAAGCAUCACAAAGCAGCUCAGCUCCAUCGCCUUCAGUGGUGGCAAGCAUUAGCUUGAUCAAUCUAAUCCCGGCGGAUGCGCUACUUUUUGUUCAUGCCCACGUGUAUUUGUGUCUGCAAAGGAGCGAGCAUACUAGAGGGAUGGUUGGAAGGGG